UGUGAAAACAAACCUAAAGCUGAAAACUGAAAACAGAUGAUCUAGACCAUUGAAUUUUCAUCUGACGGAUUAGAUUACAUUCGCGUUAUUUGUAAUCUUGACCGUCCAUUCUCUCUGCUCUAUUUUUAUCUUUCUUCAAUCUCACGAUAUCACUGGUUCUCUAUCCUUCUCCCAAAAAAUCAUCAAAUUUCAGAGGAAUUUGCUUCAAUCUUCAUCAAUAAUUUGCUUCAAUCUUCAUCAAUUUCGUCUUUAGCUUCAAAAUUAAACCUGAAAAGUGAGUUUUGCGUUUCAACAAUCAAUUAUGUGAGUUAAUCAUUUUCGUCGCUGAAUAUUCAUCCCAUUGAAGCGAGUUUUGAGCUUUCUCGAUCCUCCAUUGAAGCGAGUUUGAGCUUUCUUCUCCAUUGAAGCGGCUUCUCAGGUAGUAUUUCUUAAAUUAUCGACUAUCAAUUUCACAAUCUAGGGUUUAUUUCUAGUUAAUUGCUCGAAUGUUUUUGUUAUGAAAUAUAAAUUGUUGUUUGGAUUCGAAAUUUGUUGAAUAGCAUGCGAAUUUUGUCGAUUCAAGCAUUUAAUUGUUUUUAGAUUUUAUGUGUCAUGUAUUGUGAGUUUGUGACCCUUGAAUUUAUGUAAAAUUGGGGGAUUAGAGCAAUCUUGAGCUCUUCAUUGUGCCUUUUGCUUGGUCGGUUUGUUGUCACGGAUUCAUGGGGGAAUUCGAGUAGUUUAGCAUCUGUUUCUUGUGAUUGUACUGCCUUGCAUUUUGAUGCAGAGUAAAGAUGAGAAAUAGGGUUACAUUUUUGGGAACUAGCAAGCUGAACUUGGUGAAAUUGUAUAAUUUCUUGGAUUAUAUUUUCUUUAUGUUUAGUACUUUUAAGGCUUUAUAAAGAGGCUUCCAUUGCAUAUAUUGAGGCUUCCAUUGCAAAUAUUAAACAGAUUUCUACAUGUGAAGGAGACAGAAAAUUGAAGUAUGCCGAUCAUCAUGGUUUUCUCGUAAUUACACUUAUUGACACGCCAAGAGCUUAUGCUGAUCUCAAAUCUGAGGAACUUGGUCAGGGUGAAGCUAUAGCUCAAAACAUAAGGUCUAUGUUUGGACUGAGAGUUCCUGUCAUCUCAAUAGUCACCGGUGAAGGUGGUUUUGGGGGAGCUCUGGCCAUCUGUUGCUGCAAUAAAUUGUUUAUGCUUGAGAAUCCUGCUUUCUAUGUUGCUAGGUUUUCUUCGCAUCUAUUGUCUAUUUUUGGUUUCUUAUUAUUAUUCAAAUUCCUUCAUCAUUUUCCAAUACAUGCUUACCUUAUUAUUUCCCUUUUGACAUUCCUGAAGCAUGCGUUGCAAUAUUAUGGAAAUCUGCCCAAGCAGCCCCAAAGGCUGCUGAAAACAUGAGGAUAACAGCCCAAGAACACCUUCGGCUAAAAAUUGAUGAUGUUAUCAUUCCUGCAAGCUUUUCUAAAUUCUCAAAUUUCUGCCUGAAAUCAACAUGAUUUGUUUGGACACUUGGAAUGCGUUCAUUUGGACUGCAUGCUUAUUCCACAUAAUUGGCAGGUGUGAUACUUUUGUGUUCUUUGUGUGAUAUUCUUUCUGAUUAUUUGUCUCGAACACUCUUCUUUUUUCUUUUUGCUGUUAUUCUGAAAUGUUGAUUUGAAGCAAAUUUCUUGUAGAGACAUACUUCGUAUACCUUAAAAAUAUU